CCUACGGGUGGCAGCAGUGAGGAAUAUUGGUCAAUGGCCGAGAGGCUGAACCAGCCAAGUCGCGUGAGGGACGACGGCCCUACGGGUUGUAAACCUCUUUUGUCGGGGAGCAAAGCGAGUCACGUGUGACUCAUUGAGAGUACCCGAAGAAAAAGCAUCGGCUAACUCCGUGCCAGCAGCCGCGGUAAUACGGAGGAGACGAGCGUUAUCCGGAUUUAUUGGGUUUAAAGGGUGCGCAGGCGGUGGUGCAAGUCAGCGGUAAAAUUGCGGGGCUCACCCCCGUACUGCCGUUGAAACUGCAUCCCUUGAGUGCGCGAGAAGUAGGCGGAAUGCGUGGUGUAGCGGUGAAAUGCAUAGAUAUCACGCAGAACUCCGAUUGCGAAGGCAGCAUACCGGCGCGCAACUGACGCUCAUGCACGAAAGCGUGGGUAUCGAACAGGAUUAGAUACCCGGGUAGUC
rnacentral:rRNA from 1 species